rnacentral:rRNA from 1 species
UACGAAGGGGGCUAGCGUUGCUCGGAAUGACUGGGCGUAAAGGGCGCGUAGGCGGAUGGCACAGUCAGAUGUGAAAUUCCUGGGCUUAACCUGGGAGCUGCAUUUGAUACGUGUGAUCUAGAGUGAGGAAGAGGGUUGUGGAAUUCCCAGUGUAGAGGUGAAAUGCGUAGAGAUCCGGAGGAACACCAAAGGCGAAGGCAGUGUCCUGGGGAGUACCUGACGCUCAGGUGCGAAAGCCAGGGGAGCGAACGGG